rnacentral:misc_RNA from 1 species
GCAAACUUGGUCAUUUAGAGGAAGUAAAAGUCGUAACAAGGUUUCCGUAGGUGAACCUGCGGAAGGAUCAUUAACGAAAGUCGGGCGUGGCCUCCGGGGGAGGUGGGUGGGUUGUGCUGGCGAGGUUCCCCCUCGCACGUGCACGCCCCUCCCGACCCAGGCCCGCCCAUCCAACACACCCACACCUGUGAACGCCGAUCUUCGUCCGGGGGGGGGACUGGGGAAAGCCCCCCUCCCCCCCCCCGGCGAGGACCUUUUCACUCUCACGUAACCCUUUGUAUGUCCUGUCGAACGUGCGCUUAACGCAACCUUAAAUACAACUUUUAACAACGGAUCUCUUGGUUCUCGCAUCGAUGAAGAACGCAGC